rnacentral:rRNA from 1 species
GUAACACGUGGGUAACCUACCUUAAAGUGGGGCAUUACAAUUGGAAACAGGUGCUAAUACCGCAUAACCAUCAAAACCGCCUGGUUUUGAUGUUAAAGAUGGUUCUGCUAUCCCUUUAAGAUGGACCCGCGGCGUAUUAGCUAGUUGGUGAGGUAACGGCUUACCAAGGCAAUGAUACGUAGCCGAACUGAGAGGUUGAUCGGCCACAUUGGGACUGAGACACGGCCCAAACUCCUACGGGAGGCAGCAGUAGGGAAUCUUCCACAAUGGACGAAAGUCUGAUGGAGCAACGCCGCGUGAGUGAAGAAGGUUUUCGGAUCGUAAAACUCUGUUGUCAGAGAAGAACGUGUGUGAGAGUAACUGUUCACGCAGUGACGGUAUCUGACCAGAAAGUCACGGCUAACUACGUGCCAGCAGCCGCGGUAAUACGUAGGUGGCAAGCGUUGUCCGGAUUUAUUGGGCGUAAAGGGAACGCAGGCGGUCUUUUAAGUCUGAUGUGAAAGCCUUCGGCUUAACCGAAGUCGGGCAUUGGAAACUGGGAGACUUGAGUGCAGAAGAGGAGAGUGGAACUCCAUGUGUAGCGGUGAAAUGCGUAGAUAUAUGGAAGAACACCAGUGGCGAAAGCGGCUCUCUGGUCUGUAACUGACGCUGAGGUUCGAAAGCGUGGGUAGCAAACAGGAUUAGAUACCCUGGUAGUCCACGCCGUAAACGAUGAAUGCUAAGUGUUGGAG